AUUGAACGCUGGCGGCAGGCCUAACACAUGCAAGUCGAACGAGUGGCGGACGGGUGAGUAAUGUCUGGGAAACUGCCCGAUGGAGGGGGAUAAAUACUGGAAAAGGUAGCUAAUAACGCAUACCAUAGGAUGUGCCAAGAUGGGAUGAGCGGGGUGGAGGGGUAACGGCUAACCUGGGCGACGAUCCCUAGCUGGUCUGAGAGGAGGACCAGCAACACGGGAACUGGGACCCGGUCCAGACUCCUACGGGAGGCAGCAGGGGGGAAUAUUGCACAAUGGGCGCAAGCCGGAUGCAGCCCUGCCGCGUGUAUGAAGAAGGCCUUCGGGUUGUAAAGUACUUUCAGCGAGGAGGCGUUACUCGCAGAAGAAGCACCGGCUAACUCCGUGCCAGCAGCCGCGGUAAUUC
rnacentral:rRNA from 1 species